GAACAGUAGCUUGGUUUAGACGUUCUAACAGGAAGUAGUUCUACGAAACUCCUUCUGAUCUCAGACCAGUUAUUUCAAUGUUAGCAGUAACUGGUUGGUUCAGAGGUUACUGUUCCCAGACCAGUUAUUUUAACAUUAACAGUAACUGGUUGGUUCAGAGGUUACUGUUCUCAGACCAGUUAUUUUAACAUUAACAGUAACUGGUAGGUUCAGAGGUUACUGUUCUCAGACCAGUUAUUUUAACAUUAGCAGUAACUGGUAGGUUCAGAGGUUACUGUUCUCAGACCAGUUAUUUUAACAUUAGCAGUAACUGGUAGGUUCAGAGGUUACUGUUCUCAGACCAGUUAUUUCCAUGUUAGCAGAAGCUGGUUACUGUUCUCAGACCAGUUAUUUUAACAUUAACAGUAACUGGUUGGUUCAGAGGUUACUGUUCUCAGACCAGUUAUUUUAACAUUAACAGUAACUGGUUGGUUCAGAGGUUACUGUUCUCAGACCAGUUAUUUUAACAUUAACAGUAACUGGUUGGUUCAGAGGUUACUGUUCUCAGACCAGUUAUUUUAACAUUAACAGUAACUGGUAGGUUCAGAGGUUACUGUUCUCAGACCAGUUAUUUCCAUGUUAGCAGAAGCUGGUUGGUUCAGAGGUUACUGUUCUCAGACCAGUUAUUUUAACAUUAACAGUAACUGGUUGGUUCAGAGGUUACUGUUCUCAGACCAGUUAUUUUAACAUUAACAGUAACUGGUUGGUUCAGAGGUUACUGUUCUCAGACCAGUUAUUUUAACAUUAACAGUAACUGGUUGGUUCAGAGGUUACUGUUCUCAGACCAGUUAUUUUAACAUUAACAGUAACUGGUUGGUUCAGAGGUUACUGUUCUCAGACCAGUUAUUUUAACAUUAACAGUAACUGGUUGGUUCAGAGGUUACUGUUCUCAGACCAGUUAUUUUAACAUUAACA